GCACUUUUUUUUUUUUUUUUUUUUUUGAGAUGGAGUUUCGCUCUUGUUUCCCAGGCUGGAGUGCAGUGGCAGGAUCUCGGCUCACUGCAACCUCCACCUCCUGGGUUCAAGCAAUUCUCCUGCCUCAGCUUCCUGAGUAGCUGGGAUUACAGGCUAAUUUUUUGUAUUUUUAGUAGAGAUGGGGUUUCACCAUGUUGGCCAGGCUGGUCUUGAAUUCCUGACCUCAGGUGAUCCACCUGCCUCAGCCUCCCAGAGUGCUGGGAUUACAGGCGUGAGCCACUGCACCGGCCUAAACAAGUACUUUGAACAGAAUGAUCUUAUCCCCUAGCAUAGCAUCAACCUCAGGUGGGAGGAGGGGUAGUCAGUGGAGGCUUUCUGGAAGAGGAGGCACCUGAGAUCAGUCUUGAAAGACAAGAGAGAAUUAAGCAGACUGAAAAUGGGGCAGAGUGCUGUCAGCAGAUGAAACAGCGUGAACAAAACCAGGGAGGCAUGAAGCUGUGUGAAGUGAUUAUUGUCUUGUGCUGUGAUAACACACACCCCAGCCCAGGGUGGAGGGAGAGGAUUCUGGAGGCUCAGUGGGGCACUGGGUCUGCCAGUGGGCCACCCUUAGUAGUUUGAUUUCAUCUUAUAGGUUCUAAAGCUGGAGAGCGGCUUGUUUGGAUUUGCAUUUUAAGUGGUGACCCUGGCAGCAGUGUGGCAGCUGACUCAGUGAGCAGAGGCAUGAGGCAGGGGAGGCUGUUGCAAUAACCCAGACAGGAGAUGAUGAGGGCUUGACCUUGGGCUGUGGUAGCGGGACAGGGAGAGGGACGGGUUGAGAAACAUUUAGGAGGUCAAGUUGUUGGGACCCAGAGACUGAUGGGAUGUGUGUGGGAUGAGAGGGAGGAGUCAAGGUGGCCUUGUCCUGGGGCUGAGCAGUGGUGCAACCCAGCCCUGAGGAAUUCCGGGAGUGGAGCAGACUUGGAAACUCAAGGCCAAUCUCAGGUUGAGACAUGGCCCUGACAUUCUCCAGCUUUCAUGGUGUUCCUGCAAUCCAAGUGCCGCUUAUCUCUCUACAGGUCCACCAGAUGACCGGCUGGCCUCCUAAUUGGGCUUCCUGCAUUCCUGCCUGUGCUCGGAGCUCCCUUCUCCACUUGCCUGCUGGAGGAGGUUUACAAAAUCAGAUCAUGGCACUCCCCUGGGGCCCCGCAUCCUGUGGCCAGCAGGUCUUGGAAACGCCCCUGUACCCCAGAAACUUCCUGGUCAGUCCCUGGUCAGUGUAUAUCAUGCUUCCUGUGACAUGACAUCAACUUUUCAGUGACUUCCACUGGUUUUGGCCCAGCUCGAAGAGCCUGACACCUCUGCAGGGAAUUCUACCAGGGAGAAGAGAAAGUAGUCACUGCUUCCAGUUUUUUAAGGAGUUGGCCAAGAGCCAGCACCAGGCAUCAGAGGAAGGCAGCUGACUGCACUCGGCCACAUCCCAAAAGUGCCUGGAAGGGGAGGGAGGAAGCAGGCGCUUCAGAAGGCACUACUGUGUGUCAGGCCUCAUGCUAGGAACGCUGUAACAGGGAGCAGUGAUGGAGUCCUUGAGGUACGCCAGACAUUGUUCUAACCACUUUAUGUAGAUUGACUCAUUUCAUCAAUUUCAUUCUCUCUGCCUCUAUGAAUAAGUGUUAUUGUUCCCAUUUUAUAGAUGGGUUAGCUGAGGCACAGGAAAGCAAAAUAACAUAUCCAGGGGCCCAUAGCCAGCACGGAUGUUAUUUAA